GCCAGGUUGUGCCCGGGGGGCGGGGUAAUGGGAAGGGGGCGAGGGUUGUUCGGACUCAGUGGGCGGAAAGGGGGCGUGGGCGGCGGAUCAAGUCGGGCGUGAAAGCCCCGGGCUCAACCUGGGAGGUGCGCUGGGGACUGGUUUGCUGGAGUUCGGGAGAGGAGCGUGGAAUUCCCAGUGUAGAGGUGAAAUUCGUAGAUAUUGGGAAGAACACCGGUGGCGAAGGCGGCGCUCUGGCCCGAGACUGACGCUGAGGCGCGAAAGCGUGGGGAGCAAACAGGAUUAGAUACCCCGGUAGUC
rnacentral:rRNA from 1 species